UACGUAGGGUGCAAGCGUUAUCCGGAAUUAUUGGGCGUAAAGAGCUCGUAGGCGGUUUGUCGCGUCUGCUGUGAAAACCCGAGGCUCAACCUCGGGCCUGCAGUGGGUACGGGCAAACUAGAGUGCGGUAGGGGAGAUUGGAAUUCCUGGUGUAGCAGUGAAAUGCGUAGAUAUCAGGAGGAAUACCGAUGGCGAAGGCAGGUCUCUGGGCUGACACUGACGCUCAUGCACGAAAGCGUGGGGAGCAAACAGG
rnacentral:rRNA from 1 species